AUCCAUGAUGCCGAUUAAACAAUGACUAGAAAAAAUGGUAUGAUCUACCGAACACAUGUUCACUUCAGCUGGCCCAAUCCGACUACCCAAAUCAGAAUACUAUCUGUUCUAAAAACAUCCACCCUUCCUGCCGCACCCAGUACUUCAAAAUGAAUG